UACGUAGGGUGCAAGCGUUAAUCGGAAUUACUGGGCGUAAAGCGUGCGCAGGCGGUUUUGUAAGUCUGACGUGAAAUCCCCGGGCUCAACCUGGGAAUUGCGUUGGAGACUGCAAGGCUAGAAUCUGGCAGAGGGGGGUAGAAUUCCACGUGUAGCAGUGAAAUGCGUAGAGAUGUGGAGGAACACCGAAGGCGAAGGCAGCCCCCUGGGUCAAGAUUGACGCUCAUGCACGAAAGCGUGGGGAGCAAACAGG
rnacentral:rRNA from 1 species